AGGAUUUUGCUCAUAUGGAAAUUGCGUGCUCAUGCUAUCUAUAUAAAGUGCUUGAGAAAGGUAGGGAUCACGUUGUUUUCGUGAUGUUGCUGGUUCUGCUUCUCUUUUUCUUUAAUGGCGAUAACUUUAGUGCCGAUAAAUCAGCAUUCAAUGAUGUUGUGUAAAGAUGAGAUGAUGAGUUUGAUAUUUUGUUUUGUAGAAUCUGUGUUAUGAGUACUUUUAAUUUUCCAUGGGAACAAAAAGGAUUUUGGGAACCCAAAUCAAGAACCAAUUUAAUUGUUGGUGCAGUCGUUUGUUUCUCCUCCUGAACUAAUAAGGUAUUUUGUAGGAGAAGCGGCCUAGAAACACGUAAUGGAGCUUGACAACUUCAAGUAUCAACCUAUGCGAUUAAUGAUGCAUAGCAAAAAAAAAAAAAAAAAAAAAAAAAAAAAAAAAAAAGAAAAAAAAAAUAACAAAUGGAUUCUUAAAAAGAAGCACUCGCUGUACCAAGAGACUUAUGAGAAACUCAUUCAGGAAAUACGGUGAAUCCAAAAGAAAAAAAAAAGUAAUGGUUUUAUUCAACCAACACCACAAGUUCAAUUUUAGGAAACAAAUUGUAUUUAUUGUUGUUUGAGAACAAGUUAUUAUUUGUUACCAAGUUUUGGAUCUUUACUGAAAGUAAUACGGAAAUUUAAAGAAUUCUUAAAUAUUUUUUGUAACAAAUUUUUAAUUUAACUUCUGUUUUUUAUCUACAUUAUAAGGCUAGAAAUAUUUUUUAUCUCAAAAAAUAAAUCUAAGAGCUACAAAAGAAAAUCUAAAAUUCCUAGGUCAAUCUAGGAAACACCCCAAUGUGUGUAAUUAUUUGGCGUAUGUUUUGUUUUUGGCGCGUGUAUAUUUAUUUUCGGAAAUAAAUCUCAAUUUCUUAAAUUAAUCUAUGAAAAACCCGUAUAGAAUAGUUUUUAUAUCGUAAGUAUUUAACUAUUUAUAGAAGUCCUAGAUUUUUUCUUUGACACACGAAACUUGUGGCGGUUAGAAGUCUUGAUUUGCUGGAAUUUCUUCUAUGUGUAUUACAAACGAGAGUGCAAGCCUUAAUUUCGUCUCUAAUCGGAGUAACAUUGUUUAUUGUUUGUUUUCUUUCUUUUUUUCUAUUUAAUUUGUGUUUAGAUAUUCUGUCUGUCAAGAGCCAUACCGGGUACGUACCAGUUAGAAAGAGUUCUUAGCCUUUGGGAAGGUAAGUAGGUGUUCAGGAAGCAGUGGAGCAUAUGACGAGUGAUCGACCAUAGAGAUUAUCGUUCGCAAGUUGAACUUGGUAUGUUGCCGGGUACGUUUGUUGUAUAUAGAGUGGUCACCUGCUUUGCUAUUCAGGUCUUAUACAUAAUGAUCCCCACACGAGCAGAAUAUAGGGGCAUGCAGUAUCAAGUGAGCUUAUACGCCAUGUCUGACCGUCCGCGGCUUCCUUAUCAAACUCCGGCUUCCAGUCUACCGAGAUCCC